UUUGUUGACACAGAAAGUAUGUAAUCGUCAUAUCUAUCUUAUGUCUUAGGCUCCAUUUGGUUCGGGAAUUAUUAGGAACUAGUAAUACUGGGGAUAGGUACAAGUAUGGAUUUUUGUAAGAAUAAUGAUAUUUUUUUGUUUAGAUGAAAAUGCGAGCAUAAGCUGGAACUAGAAAAAUUGUGUUUGGAUGGUUAUUAGGAAUAAGAGGAAUAGUUGUUAGCUAUAAAUAGAAAAUAAUGAUAUUAUCGCUAUAAUUGAAUUUAAAUUUUUUAAAUUUUAAAAUUAUAAUUUUAAAUUGAAAAUUGAAAAUAUUAACUUUUAAAUUUUAAAAUUUGAAAUUAAAAUUUAAAAUUAUAAUUUUAAAUAUCAAAUUUUAAAUUGAUGACCAAAUUUAAAUUUCAAAGAUAUAAAAUAGCAAAUUUAAAAUUUAAAAACUAAAAAUAUCAAAUUUAAAAUUUAAAAUUUAAAAAUAUCAAAUUUAAAAUUUAAACUUUAAAAUUUAUAAUUUUAAAUUAUAAAUUUAA
rnacentral:lncRNA from 1 species